AGAUUUGUUAGAUUUUAGGGAGUGUAAUUGGUGACGAUUCCGUUGCUUCGAAUUGCUGAGAAUUGUCAAAGCACCGCAACUUUUCUCAGAUCUCUGUAAGCAGGCCGUGUACAGGAAAAUUAGUUGUCGUGUAUGCAUGAGAUUACAAGUUUUUUUGAAAGGAUCAAUGCACUAGAAGAGUCUGUGGAGAAAAGAGAGGGUGAAGGAUCAUUGAACAUGAUGUGACAUUCAGCAAUUAAUUUGGUGGAAUCUCCCAUUAUUCUCCACCAACCACAGAAUUGGAGUAUUGGUUCCUGGUAAUUUCUUGGCUAGAAAGAAGGUAACUUUCUGUGGUUAAAUUGGUAAAAAAAAUCUUGUUUUAAUCUUAAGAAUAAUAUAAUUUUAUGUUAGAGCCUCCAUUUCAACCAAUUUGGAUGGCGAUUUAGCCCAAAUGGUCUUGAGAACUGGCAUGUAAAUCUUUUGCAGUUAGAAAAUUUGAGAAUCAUCCCA